UUUAGUCAUCACUCUGUGUACUGAAAUAUUUGGCUAGACUUUAAACCUGUUUUUUAGAAUGUUGUUUGUUGCUGCUAUCCACCUGUGAUCUGAAGAACUGUAUGCAAGUGUUAUGUACAUGAAUUUGUAAUAUAUAUGUUUGAGAAAAUGUGUCUCAUUUUGCUUUUGGUAUAAUUUAUAAUUAUUCAUUUCAUUUCAUAUGUAACUAACUACACACUGACUGCCUUGACAAACUUCGUAUUGUUUGUUUCACCAUUGAACUAUGUGGAAUCAAUAGAAAUGUUUAUUAUUUCAAUUUUCAAAUUCAAUAGUUACCUGCUUGAUAUAUUUUUAAAAAUAUUUGAUUGUUAAGAUACACUUUUUUUUUUGUUUCUUGUUUUCAAAACACUUUUGAUACAUAAUAAAACUGAAAUAAUUUUUUAAAAA